AGAAUAUCUAGCUUGUACUCAUCACAGCAUCACAUCGAUAACACGUAAAGUAUUGAGAAGUUAACCUCUCGUUCCGCCAUUCUCAUUGUAAAGAACACCACAUUAGCCUAGUGUUGACGUCACAAUGAAAUCCCUGGUCGCCAUGGUAUGCUUAAUGUUGGUGGUAUCCGUUAUAUUAUUGGAACCAUGUGAAGUUGCCGCUAGUGGUCAUGGGAAUGUUCGACACUUGAACAAUCACGUGAAGACUCCAAGUGAUCUUCCCCUUCGAAAACAGCGUAGGGCAGAAGAUGCACGUCCAAAUUUUUGACAUCUAUUGUCAGGACAAUGGAGGAAAAAUGUGAACCGUCUGGCGUUGGCCUCGAUUUCAAGGAUUUUACAAUAAAGAAUAAUAUAUAGAUAUAUACUAUAUAGUAUCCGUAUUAAUAUCCG